CUUUCCCACACUAGGUUUUUUCCAGUGCUUGCCAAAUAAUAUUAAAAAUGGUGACAUUAAAUUCUCCUGUUUUGAAAAUCAUAUGCAUUCAUCUCUAUGGAGAUAACACCAUAGGUUUUCAUUAACAAUGCCUCUUGCAUAGCACAAACUUACUUACCUGAUGUCUUACGUGCUUUCAUAAUAAGAGACCGAAGGCUUUAUAAUACGGUAUGACUGAAAAGGCACUGCAAAACUCACUUAAAAUUUGAACCAUGGAGCCUAAGGAGAUUAAUGUCUAAAUGUCAUGUGGGAUCCCAAGAGGUCCUGGGGUAGAAAAAGGAUAUUGAGGCCAGGCGUGGUUGUUCACACCUGUAAUUCCAGCACUUUGGGAGGCCGAAGUGGGUGGAUCACCUGAGCUCAGGAGUUCGAGACCAGCCUGGGCAACACAGCAAAACCCUGUCUCUACCAAAAAUACAAAAAAUUAGCCAGGUAUGGUGGUGCGCACCUAUAGUCCCAGCUACUUGGGAGGCUGAGGUAGGAAGAUCGCUUGAACCUGGGAGGUGGAGGUUGCAGUGAGCUGAGAUCACGCCACUGCAUUCCAACCUGAGUGACAAGAGUGGGACCCUGUCUCAAAUGAAAUGAGACGAGACGAGACGAGAAAAGAAAAGAAAAGACAGGGGAGGGGAGGGGAGGGGAGAAAACAAAAGAAAAAGGACAUUGGGGAAAACUAAAGGCUGGAAUUAGUAAUAAUGUCCUAAUAUUGUUCCGUGAAUUAUGACAAAUGUAUCACUCUAACAUAAGAUGUUACUAAUAAGGGAAACUAAGUAUGGGUACAUGGAAACACUCUGUACUAUCUUCACAACUUUUUUGUAAAUCUAAAACCAUACUGAAAAAUAAAGUUCACCUUUAAAAAAUUUGAAACAUUGUACUAUCAAUGACCUAAUAUUGUGCUUAUCACUUUAACUACAUUUAAAUCAAUAUAUAUUUAUAUCAAGACAUAAUUAUACAAAUAUAAACAGAUAUGCAUCUAUAUAUGAUAUAUAUGUCAGUGACUUGAAUCAGCACCUAACUAAAUACAAAUCAUAUAGACAUAUUUGUUUCUGUGCAAACUUAAAAACUUAAAAUAUACAUUAAAAAGCCCUUUAGGGGUCUAUAAAUAAAAAUUAAAUCACUAUAUUUCACUAUAUUCUUUUGCUGCAGAAAUUUGUUUUUACAAGUCAUCUUUGCUAUUAAUUCCAGCAAAAUACUUCAAAUAUUUCAAGCAGUGUUUUAGGUAAAUAAAACAUUACAUUUACAAAUUAAAGAACAAAAUUAAACCUCUAAACCAGGGGUGUCCAAUCUUUGGCUCGCCUGGGCCACAUUGGAAGAAGACUGUCUUGGGCCACACAUAAAAUACACUAACGCUAAUGAUAGCCCAUGAGCAAAAUAAGAAAACGCAAAAAAAAAAAAAAAAAAACUCUUAUAAUGUUUUAAGAAAGUUUACAAAUUUGUGUUGGGCUACAUUCAAAGCUGAACUGGGCCACAUGUGGCCCGUGGGCCACAGGUUAGACAAGCUUGCUCUAAACAUUAAGAACAAAAGGAAAAUACCCACAGCUUUCUGUUAUUACAAUUUAAAGUCAAGAUCAGUCAAAAGCAGCAUGUUAUAACUCAUCCAAACAAUUCAUCAUUGCAUGCAAGGCCUAAGGCUACACUACAGGUUUGAAUAAUGACAAAUCCUUGAUUUGUCAAGGAUUAACUUGACAUGGGGUUGCAAAUAUUAAUAUCAUAAAAGGUUUCUUUUGCCUCCAUCAACCCCAUCAGAAGAACAGAGAAAAUCGUAAAUAUUCUUUCUUAUUUUCAGUACCUUUGCAUGGAAUUAAUUUUAUCAACAUAUUUUUAUAAUGGUGCCCAAAGAAACAACCUAUAGUUUUCAUUAACAGGCUGAGGAAACAACAGGCAGACAGACUUUAAGAAAUAAGUUCAACAAUUAUUUUAGGUAAUGCCUAGUCCACAGGCCAUGAUGCUGCUUCAAUCAUCUACACUUCCAUAGCACCUAGGUGAAUGUUUAUGCUCUAUAUGUAAGAUGGAUUUAAAAAUCUGUGUAAUUGGUAUGACUCAUAGAUGCCAACCCUACUUACUGCUUCUAACCCACUCAUCCACAAUGAAGCCACAACUAAAUGGAUAUGACAGUCUCAGGCUUAUAAACAAGACCAUCUAAGGAGCAUACAGAUUCAACAAAAAUUAUCUUGUAGUAACAUCUUUUUCAUUACAUGUAAUUCUCAAGGGAGCAGAUACUGGCCCAAAUAAGAAAACACUGAAAAUACUAACUUCUGUGUGCCCUGGAACAUUUAUAUCGAUUAAGUGAAAGGUAGAGGAAGCAAUGGGAGGCAGGUUUCUAGUGAAUUUCUUUGAAACCACAUGUUGCAGUACUCCAAUAAGCUCACUGCAGUGCUUGUAGUUCUAGUGCCAACAUCUCGAGGAGCCUGUAAAGAUGGUGUUUAUUCAUUUAAUUAUGAGACAAAAGAUCCUAAAGAAAUUAGAAUGCUAAUUGCUUUCCUUGGCUAUAUUCAGCAUAUAAUCACUUUACUUUUUAAAGCACCAGAACUCACAACCAAAUCAUUUCUUCUGACAAAAAAAAAAAAGCGCAUUCUUCCUGAAUGUUAUUUAAAAAUAAAAAACUUGUUUGAUAUCUUUAUAUAAACUCUGCAAUGUCCCUAUACUGUGGCAGAAUAUUUCCCAUUAUCUUCAUUCUUCAAGGACAUGGUUAAAGCCAGUAAUUCACACUGGGUGGCUAGCUCUACAUCAUGGAAUCAGGUAUUUGUGUCAGUGAAAGUCUCAACCACAGUCGUUGAUACUAAUGAAAAGCAAAGCACUUGCUCUGUGACUGCAGGUAGAUUAUUUAACCUUUCUGAACCUGUGCUUCCUUCCACACUUAUAAAAUGGGGUAAUCCAACACCUACUUCGUAGCUUGCAAAGGGGAUUAAAAAGCAUAUGGAAGAAGUUCUUUCAACAUAUUUAAACAUCUGUAAACACUACAAACAUAAAAAGCAGUUAACAUGGUGGCUGGCACAUAGUAGUCUUCAAUAAACUACAAUAAACUUCAAUAAACUUUUUUCAAUUAAAAAGUUCACCUUUUUUUUCUUUCAACAUUUAAGUGACAAGUUAUAUCUGCAUCUCUGAAACAUGAGGCUUGAGUUAGAAUAAUGAAGUAUUUGGGAAUAAAAUAUAAAUGGUCUAAGAAAGUCUACCUGGCUUCUCUGAUUGGGAUUACCAGAAAGGAUCCAUGUAUCUUAAGUGUUAAGAAAGUGAGGAUAAGUACAAUAUAAAAUAGAAAUGAUGAAGGAUAAGAAGACCAAGGUGGGGGCAGAAAUUAAAGUUAAUAGACUUUUUAAAUGUCUCUACAAGAAUUUAUACAUAUAUCAUAGCGUAAUUAAAAUGCUCAUGUUGAAACCCUGAUGCUUACAAGUAGAGAAAAGAACUUUUACCCUAACUAACCAAGUCAGAGACCUAAAAAUGUACCAGUAAUAAAGCUACUUAACCUUUCCCCUCCCCACCAUGCUAAAACAAUGCCUUAGGAACAAAUGACUGGACACCGAUAUACAGAACCAGGAACUCCAAAUAUCUGUAUUUUUACUGAAAUAAGUACCUCUGGAAAGACUUUCAAUUAACAGAGAAAUUAGCAAAGACUAAUUUCUCCUAGUAUGAUACCAUAUGAUCGAUUCUGAUAACAAUAUUCAAAAGAUCCUUCCUAUUUAUACAGCAAUCUUUAGUCUAAUAAAAACCACUUUUUAGUCCUGCUGAUGGUAAAUUUCUGAAAACUUAUAAAGAAUAAGAGACUCAAACUUGUAUCAACUUCUCUAUGCUCUGGUGAAAAAUUCAAAAAUCUGAAAAAUCACUAGCCUGGCUAUAUAAUAACAAAUAUGAAAGAACUUAUCACUGUAUGUUACUUAUAGCAGGAGUCCCCAACCCCAGGGCCAUGGACCAGUACCAGUCUGUGGCCUGUUAAGAACUGGGCCGCACAGCAGGAGGUGAGCAGCAGGUGAGCCAGCAUUACCACCUAAGCUCCUCCUCCUGUCAGAUCAGCAGCGGCAUUAGAUUCUCAUAGGAGCACAAACCCUAUUGUGAACUGCACGUACAAGGGAUCUAGGUUGUACGCUCCUUAUGAGAAUCUAAUGCCCCACCUCCUGCCCCCAAUCCAUGGAAAAAUUGUCUUCCAUGAAACCAGUCCCUGGUGCCAAAAUGGUUGGGGACUGUUGACUUAUAGUAUAAACUUAGGUUACAUCCCAAAGGACAAUUUUGUUUGUUGAUUGGCAUCUAGAAGCGUUGAGACCACAAAUCCCUUGAAAUUGUAUGCAAUGUAGUACAUACAUGUUUAUUUUGGGGGAUGGAGGGUAUAGAAAGUUUUCAUCAGAUUCUCAAAAAGGUCCAGUGACCCCUUCACCCCAAAAACCACAUUGCCUUAAGAAACUGACUGGCUGUCAAAUCUGAAAACAAGAAGGAACACCAUGUUUAGCUAUGUGCAAGGAGUUAUCUGGCAUUCUUUAGUAACAAAAAUUAUAUUAUUAAUGGACAUUGAGAGAUUUAUUGAGUCCCAUUAUACAUUAAAUACCAUUCCUUAAUAGAAACUAUUACUCAACUAUUCACAAAGCUAUUUGUUAGGAAAGGAAAUGGAAUAAAAGUUAUCCAAGAAAAUGAUUUUUCUUUGAUUCCUUAUAAAGUUCACUACAGGAAAUUUGAUGGUUUUAAGUCUUCCAUGAAGAAAAAAUUUGGUCUUAAAUCAGAUAACUAAGCCUGAACAUACUAUGAUUCAGUGUAACAUUAAAAAUGUAGUGGCUAGGAAUCACAUUUUCUUUUUAUGGUAGUAAUAAUAAAAAAUAGCUAUUAUUUGUUAAAUAGCUAAAGUGCUUUAUAUACUGUGCUAGACACUUUACAUACAUCACUAACUAUUACAACCAUAUAAAUACAAAAAAAUGAGGCUCCAAAAAAGUUAAGUAACAUGCCUGAAAUCGCGCUGCUAGGAAACAGCAAAGUUAGCAUUUGAACCAAAGCCCAUAUCCUUCUUCAUGCAGUGCACAAUCUCUGUAUGUCACAAAAACUAAGAAUAAAGUACACAUGUGCCUCCAGAGAGUAGUUAGUUCAAAUGAGUACUGAGUAUGAGUGAUUAAAAAAAAAAAAAAAAAAAAAGAAUACCUAGAACAUAAGAGUCAUUUGGAAGGGCAUAAUCAGCAGAUAUUAAUAACCUGUAUCUUACCUCCAACUGUAAUAUACCCAUGCAAGUCUACUCGUAUUCACCUCUCAUUCCAAACAGAAUAUGGUUUUGCCUCUGCAAAACCAUAACAGGUUUCACAUUUGGAGUUAUAAAAGAAAUGUUCCCAAAAGCAGAAGCAUAAGAGAAGGAAAGGGAGGUUGGCCUUGUGCGGCAAAGGUAAAACUUUAUCUUAUAGGAUAUUAAGUAGAUGUUGAGAACUGGGAAAGCGAUGGCAAAAGAGUAGAAGAGGUGUUUUGCUUUUUGUUUGAGACGAAGUUUUUGGUCUUAUUGCCCAGGCUGGAGCGCAAU
rnacentral:lncRNA from 1 species